UUCAAUUAUCACAGAGAUUUUCGAUCGUGAUUUGGGUUGAGUGAACUGAAACAAGGUCUUUCAUUAUGCAGGGUAGCUUCGGGUUCUGUUUUCUCUAAAACAUGCUUCAAAAUUUCUCUACUUGCUCAGGCUUGGUUUCACGGCGCGCCGGCUAGUGAAUAGGCUGUUUUACCAGGCUUGCUCUCAUCGUCAACCAAAUCCACACCAAAAACCUGAGAUUGAAUUCGUCAAAGCGAUGAAAUGUACUCUUGUCUGUGCGAACAUCCAAAAGAUCAACAUUGAGGUUGUAUCCGGUCAAAUCCAAACUCUAAACAAUUUCUUUCAAGGCUGAGUGGUGGACAUGAGUAUUAACCUUCCUAACACUGUAGAAGUCUCGAGGAGGAGCACUCUUUUGGGCAAGAAAUUUCUUAUCUGCAUUUAGCAUCAAAUGAAGAAUGAAUUGUUGUUCCAGGAGAUUGAGUCGGCGAUAGCAUAAAGUCCUUAUGUUACCCGCUGUUGUGACUCGAUUUAUAUGAUGGCGGUCAAUGAAAAAGGUUGUUGUACUUGAAACUGCAACUGGCAUUUGUUCUUCAUUAGCAACUCCACACUCAGGUAAAGGCUGGUUCUGGUUUGAUAUUUAUAGGGUUGCAAUGGCUCCACUUGAUGAGAUAUGGAAACACAUCCAGAUGCAGUAGCAGGUAGUACUGGUGCGCAAGGGUCUGCUGUGAUUGUUGGACUAAACGCUGCUGCAGUAGGUGCAACAGUGGCAGAUGGUGUUGCAGCAAGUAAAUCAUGGCUAACGAUGCUCCUCAAGCUGCAAAUAAACUUGGUGAAGACC